GAAUCCGACAGCCCGCCGCCGAUUGGACGAAACCACUGACCAAUCACGCUCCGCUCAGACCUCGAGGACAGCUGCCGAAGGAGCCAGGGGCAAACGACAGAACUAGCAAUGUUCUGUCACCAUUCUGGUCGUCUUGGAGAUCGGAUGCCAGGAGCGGUGUGUGCAAAGCAGAAAGCAUCAUCAAAUCAUGACUCGAGGGUACCACAUCUUCUGAUGGCAGCCUUGGAAAAAAAGAAGUAAUGUUGCUAUCUGCCCGUUUGCCCUCACUCUCACUGCUGGCCCCUCUACCCUGCUGCUGAGGCAGUCCUUCCCUGGAUCACAAUUAAGAAUCAAGAAAUCGUCUAUUUGUCUAUAUACCAGCCCUACAAGGCAGUAGUACAUCUUUGUUGGUCUGCAGAGAUCUGCUCAAAAGGAAGCAAAUCUGUCACGGAUCAUUAUAAUCUGAGGCAGUCCAUCUCAAGAAGAUCACCUGCUAGUUAUUAGCUUGUCCAAUAAAGGUUUCUGACAAUCGGCUGACUGAAGAAGAGAAAACGAAAACAUGUUUUACUGACUGUUCUGCACAUUAUGAAGGCACUACCCAGAGGUUGACAGCUGCAGCAUUACAACCCCUUUUUGGGACAAUCCUGAAAGAUACUGGUGAAGGGAAAUCUUUGCAGUGGGCAGAGCUUCAGGCGGUACACAU